rnacentral:rRNA from 1 species
AUUCGCCCUUAGAGUUUGAUCCUGGCUCAGGAUGAACGCUAGCUACAGGCUUAACACAUGCAAGUCGAGGGGAAACGAUAGAGAAAGCUUGCUUUUUCUAGGCGUCGACCGGCGCACGGGUGAGUAACGCGUAUCCAACCUGCCCAUCACUUGGGGAUAACCUUGCGAAAGUAAGACUAAUACCCAAUGAUAUCCGUCGAAGACAUCUGAAGUGGAUUAAAGAUUUAUCGGUGAUGGAUGGGGAUGCGUCUGAUUAGCUUGUUGGCGGGGUAACGGCCCACCAAGGCGACGAUCAGUAGGGGUUCUGAGAGGAAGGUCCCCCACAUUGGAACUGAGACACGGUCCAAACUCCUACGGGAGGCAGCAGUGAGGAAUAUUGGUCAAUGGGCGAGAGCCUGAACCAGCCAAGUAGCGUGCAGGAUGACGGCCCUAUGGGUUGUAAACUGCUUUUAUAAGGGAAUAAAGUGAGUCUCGUGAGGCUUUUUGCAUGUACCUUAUGAAUAAGGACCGGCUAAUUCCGUGCCAGCAGCCGCGGUAAUACGGAAGGUCCGGGCGUUAUCCGGAUUUAUUGGGUUUAAAGGGAGCGUAGGCCGGAGAUUAAGCGUGUUGUGAAAUGUAGAUGCUCAACAUCUGCACUGCAGCGCGAACUGGUUUCCUUGAGUACGCACAAAGUGGGCGGAAUUCGUGGUGUAGCGGUGAAAUGCUUAGAUAUCACGAAGAACUCCGAUUGCGAAGGCAGCUCACUGGAGCGCAACUGACGCUGAAGCUCGAAAGUGCGGGUAUCGAACAGGAUUAGAUACCCUGGUAGUCCGCACGGUAAACGAUGGAUGCCCGCUGUUGGUCUGAAUAGGUCAGCGGCCAAGCGAAAGCAUUAAGCAUCCCACCUGGGGAGUACGCCGGCAACGGUGAAACUCAAAGGAAUUGA